rnacentral:piRNA from 1 species
ACCAACCCUCAUAGAUUGUGAUCUCUUGG